UACGACGGGGGCUAGCGUUGCUCGGAUUGACUGGGCGUAAAGGGCGCGUAGGCGGCUUGUACAGUCAGACGUGAAAUUCCUGGGCUCAACCUGGGGGCUGCGUUUGAUACGUAUGGGCUUGAGUUCGGAAGAGGGUCGUGGAAUUCCCAGUGUAGAGGUGAAAUUCGUAGAUAUUGGGAAGAACACCGGUGGCGAAGGCGGCGACCUGGUCCGAUACUGACGCUGAGGCACGAAGGCCAGGGGAGCAAACGGG
rnacentral:rRNA from 1 species